GGGUGCUGGGCGGCUGGGCGGCCGAGGGUUCCUGGUCCUGGCGGGACGCGGAACGGGUGGCCGCCCUGGUCGCGGCGGGCAACGCCCGCC
rnacentral:tRNA from 1 species